CACCCUCCUAACCACCCAUCCUCCACAUUCUACUUUCCUGAAUUUAAUAAAUUGGAGUGAAAGAUUGAAUUCUAAAUGCUACACCACAAUAAAGACAAAUCACUCAAGACAAAAUGAAAAUACAGAAAAUCAGAAAACCAAACCUAUUUAUUGAUAGAAUGCUGAAGCCCUGAUGGAAGAUGAAUAGAAACCGGACACUCCCACAGAGGGCUGGUUAGCUGGUGCACCAUCCCAUUUGCUCUUGGACUCUGCUCACUUCACCUCUCGGUGUGACUUUGCGAUGGCUGGGGCUGUGCCAGGCCUGCUACCCCUGGACACCUGAUGAUAUCAAGAGGUCUAAGGGCCCCUGAAAUUUCAGAAAUGCUGAAUCCGUGGCAAAAGAGA
rnacentral:lncRNA from 1 species